rnacentral:rRNA from 1 species
UUUUUAGGAAGUAAAAGUCGUAACAAGGUUUCCGUAGGUGAACCUGCGGAAGGAUCAUUAACGAGAGAGGGGCUCACAUGCCCCGGGGGCUUCGGCCCCGCCUCUUCACCCCGUGCGUACCUACCUUUGUUGCUUUGGCGGGCCUCGGGUCCUCCCGACGCCGGCCUGGGGGCAACCCUGGGCUCGCGCGCGCCCGCCGGAGGCCAUCUUGAAAUUCUGUUAUCAGUGCAGUCCGAGUACCAAUUCAAUAACUAAAACUUUCAACAACGGAUCUCUUGGUUCUGGCAUCGAUGAAGAACGCAGCGAAAUGCGAUAAGUAAUGUGAAUUGCAGAAUUCAGUGAAUCAUCGAAUCUUUGAACGCACAUUGCGCCCCCUGGUAUUCCGGGGGGCAUGCCUGUUCGAGCGUCAUUGCAACCCUCAAGCACCGCUUGGUAUUGGGCUUUCGUCCCCUGGACGUGCCUGAAAGUUAGUGGCGGUCCGGCAGGGACUUGAAGCGUAGUAGAAUAUCAUCCCGCUUAAGAAGUUUCCCGCUGCGGCCAGCCAGCCCACCCCCAACUUCAAUGGUGACCU